UACAGAGGGGGCAAGCGUUGUUCGGAAUUACUGGGCGUAAAGGGCGCGUAGGCGGCCUGUUAAGUCGAACGUGAAAUCCCCGGGCUCAACCCGGGAACUGCGUCCGAUACUGGCAGGCUUGAAUCCGGGAGAGGGAUGCGGAAUUCCAGGUGUAGCGGUGAAAUGCGUAGAUAUCUGGAGGAACACCGGUGGCGAAGGCGGCAUCCUGGACCGGCAUUGACGCUGAGGCGCGAAAGCCAGGGGGAGCAAAACGGGGAUUAGAACUACCGAGUCAGA
rnacentral:rRNA from 1 species